rnacentral:rRNA from 1 species
GACGAACGCUGGCGGCGUGCUUAACACAUGCAAGUCGAACGGAAAGGCCCUGCUUUUGUGGGGUGCUCGAGUGGCGAACGGGUGAGUAACACGUGAGUAACCUGCCCUUGACCUUGGGAUAACUUCAGGAAACUGGGGCUAAUACCGGAUAGGAGCUCCUGCUGCAUGGUGGGGGUUGGAAAGUUUCGGCGGUUGGGGAUGGACUCGCGGCUUAUCAGCUUGUUGGUGGGGUAGUGGCUUACCAAGGCUUUGAUGGGUAGCCGGCCUGAGAGGGUGACCGGCCACAUUGGGACUGAGAUACGGCCCAGACUCCUACGGGAGGCAGCAGUGGGGAAUAUUGCACAAUGGGCGGAAGCCUGAUGCAGCAACGCCGCGUGCGGGAUGACGGCCUUCGGGUUGUAAACCGCUUUCGCCUGUGACGAAGCGUGAGUGACGGUAAUGGGUAAAGAAGCACCGGCUAACUACGUG